rnacentral:rRNA from 1 species
GGACUACCGGGGUUUCUAAUCCCGUUUGCUCCCCUGGCUUUCGCUCCUCAGCGUCAGAAUUGGUCCAGGAUGCCGCCUUCGCCACCGGUGUUCCUCCAGAUAUCUACGCAUUUCACCGCUACACCUGGAAUUCCGCAUCCCUCUCCCAACCUCAAGCCAUCCAGUAUCAGACGCAGUUCCCCGGUUAAGCCGAGGGAUUUCACGUCUGACUUAGUUGGCCGCCUACGAGCCCUUUACGCCCAGUAAUUCCGAACAACGCUCGCACCCUCUGUAUUACCGCGGCUGCUGGCAC